GUCGAGUAAAGUGGCGCACGGGUGAGUAACGCGUAGAUAACCUGUCUUCAUGUCUGGAAUAAUACGCCGAAAGGGGUACUAAUACCGGAUAUUCUUGCUUUUCAUAAGUUAUGCAAGCAAAGGUGGCCUCUGCAUAUGCUACUGCAUGAAGAGGGGUCUGCGUACCAUUAGCUAGUAGGUGGGGUAAUGGCCUACCUAGGCGACGAUGGUUAGCGGGUCUGAGAGGAUGAUCCGCCACACUGGCACUGGAACACGGGCCAGACUCCUACGGGAGGCAGCAGUGAGGAAUAUUGCGCAAUGGGGGAAACCCUGACGCAGCGACGCCGCGUGAGUGAGGAAGGCCUUCGGGUCGUAAAGCUCUGUCAAGAGGAAAGAAGUGUACAAUGGCUAAUACCUGUUGUAUUUGACGGUACCUCUAAAGGAAGCACCGGCUAACUCCGUGCCAGCCGCCGC
rnacentral:rRNA from 1 species